AACUCUCCUUUAACUUCUAUAGCAGUGGAAGUCCAGAAAAAUCAUGCUAGUUUCAGUUUGACAUUGUCAGCUUGUGAUAAUCAUUCUCCUAACGACACCAUUUUCCUCUAGUGUCACAGAGUCGGUCAGUGAUGGCCAUUGUAAACAUAAGUUCACCUGUAGGUGUCAAAUUUUGAUAAAACCCAUUCUUGCUUUUGGUCAACAUAGAGGAGAAAGUAAGAUUUCUUAGUGCUUUAAGCCUACGAAUGGUAUAAUUACCAUUCAGUGUAGUGUGGUUUCCAGGUGUGGUCCCAAAGCAAUACUUUUUAACAAAUCAUAAGCUAUACACUUGUAAUUUCCUCUAUUUUUCAAUUGCUGAUUUAACAUGUAUUUUGCUUUCUUCUUUAGGAGCAGAUAAGAAUGCUGAGGAAGACUCUAUAACCAGAAUGUCCCGAAAUCACGCAUAGCAAAGCUACUGCAUUCUUCUUGGCAAUUCAUUAAAAACAUGAGACCAAAACGUGGCACUAUGAAACCAGAAGAUGGAACCUUAUCUGAGGACAACAAUCCUGAUUCUGAAAAUAAAAAUAUGGCUGAAACUCUUUCCAAACCACCAGUCAGAGUUUAUGGCGAUCCUGUUCCUGUUUUACCAUCAUCUAAAUCUCUUCUGAAACCUUCUCGCAAGACGUUAGCUGUCCUUGGUCUUGCAAAGGUAAGUUGUUUCGUUUUAUACUGCCCCCACCCCAUACCAUCCUCUUGCUCCUUAUAAUGAUGAAAAGGAUCUUAGGAAGAAACGGAAGUCCUCAAGAUCAUAAUAGAAAUCAGUGUAAUGACAACAGAGAGGAAGGUACAGGAUUGACAUUUAGAAAGUUUGGUGGGAGUAGACAAUUCUCGGGUAUGCCUUUAUGGAAGCAAAGAAGGAGAAGGCAGCUGGAAAGAAUAGCUCAAUGCAUAUGAGAUGAGGAGGGGGGUGAAGGGGAAGAAUUCAUUUUAGAAGGGCGAGUUGAACUUAAAGUAUGAAGAGUUGAGAGAAAGUAUCAUAAAAUCACAGCAGCAAUAGUGGGAUUAAGGCAGAGCAGAUGCUCUUUAAAUUAUAAAAUGUGAGAGGGAAUAUUUUCAGUGCAAAUUAAGAAAAAAAAAGCCAGGUAACAACCAAAAAAUACUUAGACUCUUCUGAAUGACUUACAGCUGAUUUCUUUGAAGAACCGAAAGAAAUUUUGCCCUUGCCUUUCAGUUUAAUAAAGGUGAUAUCCUAGAUUUAGUUUAGCAAAACCUGUGUUUCUAAGGAAUGCAAAGUGAAAUCUGUUUUAGUCCAUACCAGGUUGAUUGCGAAUUUUCACUUUUUGGCUAUUGUCUUUCUUGGGGUUUCUAAGGUAACCUAUUGUGUGGUAUAAUCUUGGUAUAUUUUAGGUCUUUUUGAGUAGAAAGAGAGGAAAUAAACAUUUAUUCUUUUCAUUAAAUAAAAUGUCUGGUGAUGUAAAUAAGGUUCUUUAUCCAUGAAAUGAAAAACUAAAUUUGAAGCUGCAACACUGAAUUUGUUUUUUGUUUUUUAGCUUAUUUAUUUAUUUUGAGAGAGAGAGCAAGCAGGGUAGGGACAGGGAGAGAGGGGAGAGACAGAGAGAAUCCCAAACAGGUUCUUCAUUGUCAGCACAGAGCUCGAUGCAUAGCUCAGACUCACAAACCGGUUUGCAAGAUGAUGAACUGAGCCCAAAUCAAGAUGCUUAACUGCCUGAGCUACCCAGGUGCCACUUAAGCUGCCACACUCUGAAAGAAAAACAUAUAUAAAAUAUGUUUUCUGCAUUCUGAAUUAUCUUUUUUUAAUUUUGAGUUUUCAAGUCUUUAUGUAUUUUGAGAGAGAGAGAGUAAGACAGAGGCAGAGAGAGAGAGAGAGAGAGAGAGAGAGAGAGAGAAUCAUAAGCAGGCUGUGUGCUGCCAGUGUCAAACCCGACACAGAACUUGAAUAACCUGAGCCCAAGUCAAGUUGGACGCUUAACCAGCUGAGCCACCCAGGUGCCACUCUUGUUUUAAUAGUAUCUGCAUAGAAUAGACACAUCCACACAUACAAAAUGAAUGAACUCAACAUGUAUAAAUUUUGGUCUAAUAUGGACUCUUUGUCAUGACAGAAUCAUAAGGCAUGAAAGGUUGCCAAGAGGGUAUGCAAAAUUCGUUGUAGGAGGUGAUUUUUACUUUUUUGAAGAUUUCCUACAAUAGAUACAUUUUUAAAACAAUAUUUAUUUAUUUUUGAGAGAGAUGGAGCAUGAGUGGGGGAAGGGCAGAGAGAGAGGGAGACACAGAAUCUGACGCAGGCUUCAGGCUCUGAGCUGUCAGCACAGAGCCUGACACGCGGGGAUCGAGCUCAGGAACCAUGAGAUCGUGACCUGAGCCGAAGGCGGAUGCUUAGCCGACUGAGUCCCCCAGGCA